GCAACUGCAGCUGAUGUGAGGAGGCUGGUGAGGAAUGAGGAUCUAAAUGCAGCUUUUAAUGGAAACCAAAGAUAAACAAAGUACUCAGAACAAAACGAAACAAAACACGGGAAACCAGGCACAAAACGUGACAACACAUGUAAGGACUGACCAAGAAACCAGGGGAAACAAGAGCUUAAAUACAAUUGGGCAAACAAGGAAACAAGGAACACCUGGGGAAAACAAUCAGGGGAAAACCAAUCAUGAAAAGAAACUAAAAAGGACUACAAAAUUAACAGGAAACAGGAACGGGGAACUAAACAAGAAUUUCAAAUAAAAAUCUAAGCAAAAACACAGGGAAUACGUGACAGCUGUUGCUUAAGCAGGGCUUUAAAGAAAAGAUCAUGGCAAAAAUGCUUGGAUGCUCAACAUCAUACCUUUAUCACAAACUGCACGUCCUAGGAAUAAGAAUGAGGGAUCGAUUUACCCAAAUUGAUGAUGAUGAUCUUGAGCAACAUGUACGAAGCUUCAUGAACAGUAUCCAAAAUCAGGUUAUGAGAUGAUGCAAGGAUACCUGUCAGCUGAAGGGAUACAUGUGCAGAGGCAACGUGUGCGUAAUGCACUUAGUAACAUUAUCCCAGCAGCAGCAGCUCAACGGUGGAGCUAUGCUGUUGCAAGAUGGACAUAUUUUGUCCCGUUUCCAAACAGUCUUUGGCACAUCGAUGGGCACAUGCGUCUUAUUAGAUGGGGAAUAGUGACACACGGAGGGAUAGAUGGACACUCACGGGUCAUCACUUACCUGAGAGCAAACCUCGACAACACUGCUUUGACAGUGUUGGCCGGUUUUGUCAGAGCAACUUUUCAGUAUGGAUUUCCUUCCAGAGGUCUGACAGUGGUGGUGAAAACACUUUGGUUACUCUGCUUAUGAAUUUGAUCUAUGGGGAUGAACGGAGGAGUCAUAUCACAGGAAGAUCAGUACACAACCAGCAUAUUGAGAGGCUCUGGAGGGAUGUUUUUACCCAGGUUAUUCAAUACUUCUACCACCUGUUUUAUUACUUUGAGGAAGAGCAAAUUCUGGAUCCUGACAAUGACAUACACAGAUAUUGUGUACAACAAGUUUACCUCCCAGUUAUUCAGGAAAGACUGGACACUUUCAAAACAGCAUGGAACAAUCACAGACUACGAACUGAGAGGAACUGUACCCCUAACCAGAUAUGAAUGGAAGGUAUGGUGGCUAGCCGUCAACAUGACACAACGGCCAUCAACAAUGUUUUCAGCCAAGACCCGUACAAUGAAGAAAUGGAGACCAUGCUAGGGCGAUAUGAACUCAUCCAUAACUCAUCUGGAGGUUAAUCAGGAUGACCUUGACAGAGCUGUAGUUGUUAGGCAACCACACGUUAACUUGAAUCAUGGAGAACUGCAAAUACUUAAAGAUGCCCUGGUAGGAAUUACUGACUUCAAGGAAAAAUAUUUGACCAGCUGCAGAGUUAUUACCAGACUUCAUCAACAGUAGCUGAACAAUGUGCAAUUACACAAC